rnacentral:rRNA from 1 species
UACGUAGGGUGCGAGCGUUGUCCGGAAUUAUUGGGCGUAAAGAGCUCGUAGGCGGUGUGUCACGUCGUUCGUGAAAACCUGCAGCUUAACUGUGGGCGUGCGGGCGAUACGGGCAGACUGGAGUACUGCAGGGGAGACUGGAAUUCCUGGUGUAGCGGUGGAAUGCGCAGAUAUCAGGAGGAACACCGAUGGCGAAGGCAGGUCUCUGGGCAUUAACUGACGCUGAGGAGCGAAAGCAUGGGGAGCGAACAGG